GAGUUUGAUCGUGGCUCAGAUUGAACGCUGGCGGCAUGCCUUACACAUGCAAGUCGAACGGCAGCACGGGAGCUUGCUCCUGGUGGCGAGUGGCGAACGGGUGAGUAAUGCAUCGGAACGUAUCCUGGAGUGGGGGAUAACGUAGCGAAAGUUACGCUAAUACCGCAUAUUCUGUGAGCAGGAAAGCGGGGGACCUUCGGGCCUCGCGCUCUUGGAGCGGCCGAUGUCGGAUUAGCUAGUUGGUGAGGUAAAGGCUCACCAGGGCGACGAUCCGUAGCAGGUCUGAGAGGAUGAUCUGCCACACUGGAACUGAGACACGGUCCAGACUCCUACGGGAGGCAGCAGUGGGAAUUUUGGACAAUGGGGGCAACCCUGAUCCAGCCAUGCCGCGUGAGUGAAGAAGGCCUCGGUU
rnacentral:rRNA from 1 species